GACGAACGCUGGCGGCGUGCUUAACACAUGCAAGUCGAACGGAAAGGCCCUGCUUUUGUGGGGUGCUCGAGUGGCGAACGGGUGAGUAACACGUGAGUAACCUGCCCUUGACUUUGGGAUAACUUCAGGAAACUGGGGCUAAUACCGGAUAGGAGCUCCUGCUGCAUGGUGGGGGUUGGAAAGUUUCGGCGGUUGGGGAUGGACUCGCGGCUUAUCAGCUUGUUGGUGGGGUAGUGGCUUACCAAGGCUUUGACGGGUAGCCGGCCUGAGAGGGUGACCGGCCACAUUGGGACUGAGAUACGGCCCAGACUCCUACGGGAGGCAGCAGUGGGGAAUAUUGCACAAUGGGCGGAAGCCUGAUGCAGCAACGCCGCGUGCGGGAUGACGUCCUUCGGUUUGUAAACCGCUUUCGCCUGUGACGAAGCGUGAGUGACGGUAAUGGGUAAAGAAGCACCGGCUAACUACGUG
rnacentral:rRNA from 1 species